rnacentral:misc_RNA from 1 species
GAUGAAGAACGUAGCGAAAUGCGAUAAGUAAUGUGAAUUGCAGAAUUCAGUGAAUCAUCGAAUCUUUGAACGCACAUUGCGCCCGCCAGCAUUCUGGCGGGCAUGCCUGUUCGAGCGUCAUUUCAACCCUCGAGCCCCCCCGGGGGCCUCGGUGUUGGGGGACGGCACACCAGCCGCCCACGAAAUGCAGUGGCGACCCCGCCGCAGCCUCCCCUGCGUAGUAGCACACACCUCGCACCGGAGCGCGGAGGCGGUCACGCCGUAAAACGCCCAACUUUCUUAGAGUUGACCUCGGAUCAGGUAGGAAUACCCGCUGAACUUAAGCAUAUCAAUAAGCGGAGGA